CGGCGCUGCGCUCCGGGGCGGGAGCUGGGCUGGCGGAGCGUGGCCCCUAAAGCCCCGGCGCCGCCCGGGGGCGGGGAAGCAGCAGCGCCCGCCCCGUCGCCGCCCCAGCUGGGACCGCACGGCAGAAAGGGGGAAAGUGGAGGAGAAUAUCGAUCGUUGCCUGUCAACACGCCCCAACCUGCGUGCGAGUCAACGGGCGACCCAACGGCCACCUACCGAUUUACGAGAUGAUGCCCAACCAACUGAGCCACACAGGCUGGCAACUCCGAGUCCCCUGCUGGAGCUGAGACACGACGAUGUGGCCCUGGACAGGUCCCGCGGCCACCAGCCAGAGCCAGCAGAGCCCAGCCGUUCCGCCGGAGAAGCGGCUGCUCCAGGGCCACCCACAGCCGGGCUGUGUCAGUGAAGCCACCUGCACUGCUGUCCUUCAUGGCAGCCCACGUGGGGGGUUUCCCACUGUUUAAUGUUCUUUUUCUCAAUUGUCUUCUUCUCUUCUCAUUUAAUUUUUUUUUUAAUUUGUUCUUUUCCCCAUUUUUUUCUUUAGAUUUUUUUUAGUUAAUUAGCAUUGUUUAUUAGUACUGUUCGUUAGCAUUGUUAGUACAGUGAAUAUAGUUAAUAUGAGUGGAGUUGCUAUAGUUAGCAUUGUUUAUUAGCACAGUUAGUAUGUUACCAUAGAACAGUUAGUGCUGUUAGCAAAGUUAGUAAGCACAGUUAGCAUCGACAGUGUUGUCGGUAUGGUCGGCAAGUCGCCAUGUCCAAUGACCUUGCAGCCAUCCCUGCCAACAAAGGGCCCCAUGUUGGCCUUUAUGAGCUCCUGAAAACCACUGGCCAGGGAACCUUUGUCAAUGCAAGGGUGGCCCAGCACAUUCUGAUGGGGACAGAGGUGGCUGUCAAAGUCAUUAAUUGGUGGGGCUCCCCUAUACUUUUUCAAGAAGCCCACUACAUGAAGGGCUUGAAUCACCGGUAACAGUUAUUUGAGGAGACUGACACCGGGAAACAUUACUCUUUUCUGACACUGGCUUGGUUACCUGGAGGGCCGCACGACUGGGGAGCAGGCCGGAGCCCUGUUCUGUGUCAGCGGUACAGCACCGCCACCAGAGGGACAUCAUCCACAGGGGCCUGCAGCCAGACAACAUCCUCAGAGAUGCUGAGCCGACUGGCAGACUGGCAGCCUUCGGCCUCAGUAGUGAAUUCAUUGGCCGUGAGCGUCCUGUGGCAUCCUCUCUUAUGUCGCCCCGGAGCCCUUCUGCCGCCAAACGUACCGUAGCCCCGGGGUUGACGUAUGGAGCCUGGGGGUAGUUCUGUGCGGGGACCCUGCUGUUUGUGGGGGAGCACUUUUGAGAUGAAGCAUCGGAUGCGGAGUGGACACUUCCAUGUACCGAUACUUUAUGUCUACAGAAUGUCAAAAAGUUUUUAAAAAAUUAAUGACCCUUGGAACCCGGCAAUAGAACAACACUGGAAUAUGUUACGAAGGACCCAGAGCUCAACCCGGGCCAGGAGGAGGUGCUCAGGCCUUACAGGGAGCCCCCAGGACAACACGGAUCGCCCAGUGACAGAGAUAAUAAAGAACCUGGGAUUUGAAUGAGACAAGAUCCAGGAAUAAGUAACAGAAAGAAAGUACAACAAAGCAAUGGGUACAUGCUUGAUCCUAAGUCCCUGAAAACCAAGGUAAAGAGCACACCAUCAGAGUAAGACCCUGCCCCAAGCCUGAGAGGUUCUGCCCUGAUGGCAGAAGACCAAAGAGCCGGCUAUUCCCCCUGGCCAACCUGGAGUCGAGGACCUCCAUCCCCAACCCAGCCUUCCAUCCCCGGGCCCCAGCGAGGCCCGGGGUGGGCUGCCCCUCCACCUACAGCAGCAGCGGCGGGCCCCCGCAGUGGCGGCCCUCCACGGGGAACCAACACCAAAAACUCUUUUCAUGUUGGGCAGCCUGAUGGUGGGAGCCCAGCCUCUCCCUCUGGCCACAGGCAUGGCCAGCAGGGGGCGGUAACUAGGAGGUUCUUCUGUUUCCCAUUAAGACGUACGUGCUGUAGGCUGUCCACUAACAGAAGCAGAAGUGAAACCAAUAUAAUUUUUAAAAUUGUGGAGAACCAAGGCAGGACCACAGUCAAGACUCUGGCUCAAGCCACAGCCCCUGCAUUUUACACCCAACGAGAAGGCACUGCGCACCAGGGCGGCCAGCCACUGGGGUGCAGGGGUCAGCCAGAGGCUGGGUGCAAGCGCAGUAGGGGCAUGCGCACCUCUCAGGGGGAGGACUUGAUCCAGUGGACAAUGGAGAGGUGAAACCGCUUAGUUCCGAAAGUGGCCUGUAGCCCCCCAGGCGGGUUGGGGGCUGGGGGGCUGGCUCAGAGGAUAGGCCCCCCUCACUGCAGGUCCACCCCUCAGCCCCCACUUGAAUGAAACUUCAGAGACUGAACUGUUUUUCCUGGGGGCCCUUCUCCCCUACGCUGCUCUUCUUUUCUCUCACGUUUGUGGGGGUUCUUAUUAAAGUAUUUGGUUCUUCCAAAUCUUAUAAUAAAUUUGAAGCUCCAGGGAAAAAAUGCUAAGUGUGAUAUCUCC